rnacentral:rRNA from 1 species
UACGAAGGGGGCUAGCGUUGUUCGGAUUUACUGGGCGUAAAGCGCACGUAGGCGGAUCUUUUAAGUCAGAGGUGAAAUCCCAAGGCUCAACCUUGGAACUGCCUUUAAUACUGGCAAUCUCGAGUCCGAGAGAGGUGAGUGGAAUUCCGAGUGUAGAGGUGAAAUUCGUAGAUAUUCGGAGGAACACCAGUGGCGAAGGCGGCUCACUGGCUCGGUACUGACGCUGGAGGUGCGAAAGCGUGGGGAGCAAACAGG